UGGGGAAUUUUGGACAAUGGGCGCAAGCCUGAUCCAGCCAUUCCGCGUGAGUGAAGAAGGCCUUCGGGUUGUAAAGCUCUUUCGCAAGGGAAGAAAACUUAACCUCUAACAUAGGUUGAGGCUGACGGUACCUUGAUAAGAAGCACCGGCUAACUACGUGCCAGCAGCCGCGGUAAUACGUAGGGUGCGAGCGUUAAUCGGAAUUACUGGGCGUAAAGCGUGCGCAGGCGGCAUGAUAAGUCAGAUGUGAAAUCCCCGAGCUCAACUUGGGAACUGCGUUUGAAACUAUCAAGCUAGAAUAUGUCAGAGGGGGGUAGAAUUCCACGUGUAGCAGUGAAAUGCGUAGAGAUGUGGAGGAAUACCAAUGGCGAAGGCAGCCCCCUGGGAUAAUAUUGACGCUCAUGCACGAAAGCGUGGGGAGCAAACAGGAUUAGAUACCCCCGUAGUCCCUGAGCGGGCUGGCAAGGCGCAU
rnacentral:rRNA from 1 species